rnacentral:rRNA from 1 species
UAACGGCGAGUGAAGCGGCAACAGCUCAAAUUUGAAAUCUGGCCCUCGGGUCCGAGUUGUAAUUUGUAGAGGAUGCUUUUGGCGCGGUGCCUUCUGAGUUCCCUGGAAUGGGACGCCAGAGAGGGUGAGAGCCCCGUAUAGUCGGACACCAAGCCUCUGUAAAGCUCCUUCGACGAGUCGAGUAGUUUGGGAAUGCUGCUCAAAAUGGGAGGUAAAUUUCUUCUAAAGCUAAAUACCGGCCAGAGACCGAUAGCGCACAAGUAGAGUGAUCGAAAGAUGAAAAGCACUUUGAAAAGAGGGUUAAACAGUACGUGAAAUUGUUGAAAGGGAAGCGCUCAUGACCAGACUUGCGCCCGGCGGAUCAUCCAGCGUUCUCGCUGGUGCACUCCGCCGGGCUCAGGCCAGCAUCGGUUCCGGUGGGGGGAUAAAAGUCGUGGGAAUGUGACUCCUCCGGGAGUGUUAUAGCCCGCUUCAUAAUGCCCUCGCCGAGACCGAGGUACGCGCUCCGCAAGGAUGCUGGCGUAAUGGUUAUCGGCGACCCGU